GCCGGAGGAUGCAAGCGUUAUCCGGAAUUAUUGGGCGUAAAGCGUCCGCAGGUGGCCGUUCAAGUCUGCUGUCAAAGACCGGGGCUUAACUUCGGAAAGGCAGUGGAAACUGAACAGCUAGAGUAUGGUAGGGGCAGAGGGAAUUCCUGGUGUAGCGGUGAAAUGCGUAGAGAUCAGGAAGAACAUCGGUGGCGAAGGCGCUCUGCUGGACCAUAACUGACACUCAGGGACGAAAGCUAGGGGAGCGAAUGGG
rnacentral:rRNA from 1 species